ACAUACUUCUUUAUAUGUCCAUAUGGAAGUGCCAAUGCUAUGGAAUGUAAAGAAGUAUGUAU
rnacentral:pre_miRNA from 1 species